CCUACGGGUGGCAGCAGUGAGGAAUAUUGGUCAAUGGACGAGAGUCUGAACCAGCCAAGUAGCGUGAAGGAUGACUGCCCUAUGGGUUGUAAACUUCUUUUAUAAAGGAAUAAAACGAGGCACGUGUGCCUUUUUGCAUGUACUUUAUGAAUAAGGAUCGGCUAACUCCGUGCCAGCAGCCGCGGUAAUACGGAGGAUCCGAGCGUUAUCCGGAUUUAUUGGGUUUAAAGGGAGCGUAGAUGGGUUGUUAAGUCAGUUGUGAAAGUUUGCGGCUCAACCGUAAAAUUGCAAUUGAUACUGGAAGUCUUGAGUACAGUUGAGGUAGGCGGAAUUCGUGGUGUAGCGGUGAAAUGCUUAGAUAUCACGAAGAACCCCGAUUGCGAAGGCAGCUUACUAAACUGUGACUGACAUUGAUGCGCGAAAGUGUGGGUAUCAAACAGGAUUAGAUACCCGUGUAGUC
rnacentral:rRNA from 1 species